UUCCAAGUCUGGAAGUUUAAAACCACCCUCAGACUCAGGAAGGUUAAUAGCACCCUCAGACUCAGGAAGGUUAAAAGCACCCUCAGACUCAGGAAGGUUAAUAGCACCCUCAGACUCAGGAAGGUUAAAAGCACCCUCAGACCCAGGAAGGUU